ACUGCUUGUAAGGUCUGCUAGCCCUCAUUCUCUGAUCCUUCUAGUCUUAGUGAGAAAAUGUAACCGUGGAAAUUGAUUUUAUUCAAUAAUAACUUUUAAUAUGAUUUUAUCUUCCCCUCCCUGCAGUCAGACCUUUUAUCUGCUCUCUUGCAGCUACCGUGCGUGUUUAAAUAAUUAGCAAGUGUGACUAAAAAGUCAACUCACCACCCUCUUUUGAGAAUCUAGCUUUAGCAUUUAGGUAACUAAACACCUUAAAUUGUUUCUGUCCCUUACUGAAUUCAGGGCCUAAACCCAGCUCCAGUUAUCUUCUUCUGUCUGCUCUGUGGUAGGUGGAUAAUUCAGCUAAAAAUGUGCUAAAAAUGAUGGCACUUUUUGCGUAUCCACCUUUCUGCUCAUUUUGGUUUUGCUGGAGCCAGUAGUCUUGACUACUGACCUCAUUUUUCCCCAGAGCCGCUUCAUGUUGAUCUAUGAAGUCGCUGCCUGUUUUCCUUCCUACUUCUGCCCCGAUCCACAGUGAAAUUGGGAGUUAGCGACUAAGUGGAUGCAUCCCAACUUUACUAUAUGGAAUUGGCUCCUGGUUCUUUGUCAGUGUCACAGAGACUGUUCAUACGAGUCAUGGCCCAGUUACUAUUUAUUUUCUAAAUAAAGAAGAUGAAGGCGCAAUGUACUGAAAUCAUGCCCUCAAGUACCUGUCAUUUGGUGGGUUUUCAUGUUACUGCUGCUACAAAUGCCUACUCCCUGUGACUAAAAGAGAACUGAAGGCAAUUCUCUUUUUUUUUUUUUUUGCUGUGUAUUUUAUUUAACGUGUUGUCCUCAGGAAGCUUCAUGGAAUUUUUUGGUCAUAAGAGGUUUAUUUUGUAGAGGUUAUUAAAGUUGAAAAAGUAGAAGCCUCAGGAAAAGAACUAAUAUUUCUAAGGGUGUUAUAAUUUAUAUAAGUCGGUGACUAGAACUGUUGAACAAGCUUCUGAUAAUUUAAAAAAGAUAAGUGUGCCAACAUAUAGGACUGAAUUGUAGUGUGUGGGCAAGGAAACUGUGACUAUCAGACUUCUCAGAAUGUCUCUGAAAACGCUAAGCUGCUCAGAUUUAGACUGACUAGAUGUUUUGUAAUACAUUAAUUGUCAUAUUUGCAAGAAUGUUUGAAUGAAUCCAUGGCACUGACUUCUUCUUCACAACUGCCCAGAAGGCUUUUUGGAAAAGUAUGCCCAAGAAGUUAAAAAUGGCUGUUUGUAUCUCAUUUCUCAAAUGAUAUUUAAAUAAAAUAUCUAAAAUACA